rnacentral:rRNA from 1 species
GACGAACGCUGGCGGCGUGCCUAAUACAUGCAAGUCGAACGCUUCUUUUUUCCUACCGGAGCUUGCUCCACCGGAAAAAAGAAGGAGUGGCGAACGGGUGAGUAAACACGUGGGUAAACCUGCCCAUCAGAAGGGGGAGUAAACAACUUGGAAAACAAGGUGCUAAUACCGUAUAACAAUCGAAACCGCAUGGUUUUUGAUUUGAAAGGCGCUUUCGGGUGUCGCUGAUGGAUGGACCCGCGGUGCAUUAGCUAGUUGGUGAGGUAACGGCUCACCCAAGGCGACGAUGCAUAGCCGACCUGAGAGGGUGAUCGGCCACAUUGGGACUGAGACACGGCCCAAACUCCUACGGGAGGCAGCAGUAGGGAAUCUUCGGCAAUGGACGAAAGUCUGACCGAGCAACGCCGCGUGAGUGAAAGAAGGUUUUCGGAUCGUAAAAACUACUGUUGUUAGAGAAGAACAAGGAUGAGAGUAACUGUUCAUCCCUUGACGGUAUCU